rnacentral:lncRNA from 1 species
GUCAUCUUUCAUGAGCAAAACAGUGGGCUCCAAGCUUCCUCUUUUGCUUUAUUCUUCAAGGUUUAUCUGUUAUUUUCUUGACCAGCUAGUCAUCUACACAAUUGAAGUGAUUGGUCCAAGUAUGUUCUUUCCGACAGGUUAUCUUGUCCUAGCAUGCAAGAUAGUUGGCUGUCACCAGCUGUUGCUUUAUUCUUCAAGGUUUAUCUGUUAUUUUCUUGACCAGCUAGUCAUCUACACAAUUGAAGUGAUUGGUCCAAGUAUGUUCUCACCGACAGGUUAUUUUGUCCCAGCAUGCAAGAUGGUUGGCUGUCACCAGCUGUUGCUUCAUUCUUCAAGUUCAUCUUAUAUUUGUCACCAGCUGUUGCUUUAUUCUUCAAGGUUUAUCUGUUAUUUUCUUCUCCGGCUAUUCAUCC